rnacentral:rRNA from 1 species
AAAAGCUCGUAGUUGGAUCUCAGCUCCGGCCGGACGGUCCGCCUACCGGUGGUUACUGUUCGUCGCCGAGCGUUCAGGCGGUUAUUCUUGAUGAUCUUCACCGGUUGUCUCGGGUGACCGCCAAGUUUACUUUGAAAAAAUUAGAGUGCUCAAAGCAGGCGCGACGCCUGAAUAAUUGUGCAUGGAAUAAUGGAAUAGGACCUCGGUUCUAUUUUGUUGGUUUUCGGAACACGAGGUAAUGAUUAAGAGGGACAGACGGGGGCAUUCGUAUUGCGACGCUAGAGGUGAAAUUCUUGGACCGUCGCAAGACGAACUACUGCGAAAGCAUUUGCCAAGAAUGUUUCCAUUAAUCAAGAACGAAAGUCAGAGGUUCGAAGGCGAUCAGAUACCGCCCUAGUUCUGACCAUAAACGAUGCCAGCCAGCAAUCCGCCUGUGUUCCUCAAAUGACACGGCGGGCGGCUUCCGGGAAACCAAAGCUUUUGGGUUCCGGGGGAAGUAUGGUUGCAAAGCUGAAACUUAAAGGAAUUGACGGAAGGGCACCACCAGAAAUGGAGCCUGCGGCUUAAUUUGACUCAACACGGGAAAACUUACCCGGCCCGGACACAGGAAGGAUUGACAGAUUAAGAGCUCUUUCUUGAUUCUGUGGGUGGUGGUGCAUGGCCGUUCUUAGUUGGUGGGGCGACUUGUCUGGUUAAUUCCGAUAACGAACGAGACUCUAGCCUACUAAAUAGACGUUCCGAUCCUCUUUCGUCGGACGUUCUUCUUAGAGGGACAAGCGGCGUUUAGCCGCACGAGACAGAGCAAUAACAGGUCUGGGAUGCCCUUAGAUGUCCGGGGCCGCACGCGCGCUACAUUGAAGGAAUCAGCGUGUGCUUUCCCUGUCCGACAGGACUGGGUAACCCGUUGAACCUCCUUCGUGCUGGGGAUUGGAGAUUGUAAUUGUCCUCCAUGAACGAGGAAUUCCCAGUAAGCACGAGUCAUCAGCUCGUGUUGAUUACGUCCCUGCCCUUUGUCCACACCGCCCGUCGCUACUACCGAUUGAAUGAUUUAGUGAGGUCUUCGGACUGGCGCUCGGAUUGGCCUCCGCGGUCGAGCCGGUGUGCCGGAAAGAUGACCAAACUUGAUCAUUUAGAGGAAGUAAAAGUCGUAACAAGGUUUU